rnacentral:rRNA from 1 species
GAUGAACGCUGGCGGCGUGCCUAAUACAUGCAAGUCGAGCGAACAGACGAGGAGCUUGCUCCUCUGACGUUAGCGGCGGACGGGUGAGUAACACGUGGAUAACCUACCUAUAAGACUGGGAUAACUUCGGGAAACCGGGGCUAAUACCGGAUAAUAUAUUGAACCGCAUGGUUCAAUAGUGAAAGACGGUUUUGCUGUCACUUAUAGAUGGAUCCGCGCCGCAUUAGCUAGUUGGUAAGGUAACGGCUUACCAAGGCAACGAUGCGUAGCCGACCUGAGAGGGUCAUCGGCCACCCUGGAACUGAGACACGGUCCAGACUCCUACGGGAGGCAGCAGUAGGGAAUCUUCCGCAAUGGGCGAAAGCUUGACGGAGCAACGCCGCGUGAGUGAUGAAGGUCUUCGGAUCGUAAAACUCUGUUAUUAGGGAAGAACAAAUGUGUAAGUAACUAUGCACGUCUUGACGGUACCUAAUCAGAAAGCCACGGCUAACUACGUG